GGGCUGUUAGCUCAGCUGGUCAGAGCGUGCGGUUCACAUCCGCAAGGUCGCUGGUUCGAGCCCAGCACAGCCCA
rnacentral:tRNA from 1 species